CCGGGGCACGCUAGGAGGGCGCUGCGCAGGUCGCUAGAGCCUGGCUUACCUGGGCUCGGACGGAGAGAACAGCGAGGAGAUGCCAGAUAAAGAAGUGGCUCAAGAAUAUAAAUUAAGAUACCCAAUACCAAACAGUGUUGCCUCAAACUUGGCAUGAUGACUUGAGAACUUCCAUGCCUGCCCCAGAAGUUGCUCAGCAAGCCAACCAGUAAAAUAUUCUGAGCAUCUCUCCAGGAUGAAGCUGAACCAGAGUUCACGUUUCUUAGUUGAAGUUCCCCUGAAGAGAGUCAUCCAGUAUUCCCUAAGCCUUGUCAGAUCUGCUCAACUCUCCCACCAUAUUCGGCCAUUACUACUCUAAACAAUGCCCACCAAAGGGGAAAGAGCUUGCUGGGUUCCAGCCAUGAGCCCAGUUUCAUAGCCGCUGAAAACUCAUUACACUCUUACUCCAGUUUUGGCCACCAUGAAAGGACCCAGCCUAAUACUACAAAGCAAGAUCUUUAACACCAUAGUGGAGACCAGUGUUUCCCAGGAGGAUGCAGGUGCAAAUGGCAUUCGCUACUGCAUCUAUAGCCCAGAAUGCUGACAACAAUAAUUAUUAACUAUCGAGGCUGCUCUUAUGGCCUGGAAGUAAGACCAUUAAGAAACUAACACCUGAUAAAAGCUACACAGAGACCAUCCGGACUAACUGUAGCAGAUCUAGAAAUUACAGUUGUAGAUGCUGUUCACUGAGGACACUUUGGGUCACCUUUUUUAAGUGACUUAUUUUUAUCUACUGCUAAGUAUCCAAGCAAACACUGUGGCUUGGAAGUUGGACUCCAAGCGCAGCCCCCUACCCUCAGGAGUUGUGUCAGACUGAGCAUAUCUCAGCCAUCAGGCCCCAGCACAGACAGAAAAAAUGCAUCUUCCCAGGGCAUCUUGUUGUAAUCCACAUUAUCCAUAGAAACACAGAGAUAAGGAAGGCUGAGAAGGGAAAAUCAGGACAGGUAAAUAAUAGCCUUAAAUCCAGGCUUACCUAGGAGGUCAUCUCUAACCAUUUGUGUUUCUGAACAUAGUAUGGAAAGGACUUGCUGUAGUGGGUUGAAUGGUAGUGCUCAAAAUAUCUGCCUAAAUCCCAGAACCUAUGAAUGUAACCUUAUUUGGGAAAGGGUCUUUGCAGAUGUAAAUUAAAGAUCUCAACACAAAUCAUCCUGGAUCAUCCAGGUGGGCCUUCAAUUCAAUGGCAGAUGUUCUUAAAAAAGAUAGGCAGGGAGAAACAGAUGAGAAGGCCAUGUGAAGACAGAGGCUGAGAUGGCAGUUAUAAAGCUACAACCCAAGGAACACCCAAAGACACCAGAAGAUGGAAGAGGCAAGGAAGGAUUCUCACCUAGAGACCUGAAGGGAGUUCGGUCUUGCCAACACCCUGAUGUCAGAUUUCUGGCCUCCAGAACUACAAGAGAAUAAGUUUCUGUUAUUUUAAAGCAUCCAGUUUGCGGUAAUAUAUCAGCCCUAGAAAUUAAUAUACUUGGCGACUCUCUUUAGCUUGACCCUACUCUUGAUGUCUACCUGUAAGACAAGAAGCAGCCCAG